CCCAUAGCGACACCCAGCCCCAUAGCGACCCCCAGCCCCAUAGCGACUCUGAGCCCCAUAGCGACUCUGAGCCCCAUAGCAACCCCCAGCCCCAUAGCGACCCCCAGCCCCAUAGCGACUCCCACCCCACAAGUGACUCCCAGCCCCAUAGCGAGACCCAUAAGUGACUCUAAGCCCUAUAAGUGACUCCUCAGCCCUAUAAGUGAACCCUCUGCCCCAUAAGUGAACCCUCUGCCCUAUAAGUGAACCCUCUGCCCCAUAGAGAGACCCACAAGUGGUCCCUCUGCCCCAUAAGUGACCCCUCUGCCCCACAAGUGACCCCUCAGCCCCAUAGUGAGACCCACAUGUGGUCUCUCAGCCCCAUAAGUGACCCCUCUGCCCCAUAAGUGACCCCUCUGCCCCACAAGUGACCCCUCAGCCCCAUAGUGAGACCCAUAAGUGACCCCUCUGCCCCAUAAGUGACCCCUCUGCCCCAUAAGUGACCCCUCUGCCCCAUAAGUGACUCCUCUGCCCCAUAAGUGACCCCUCUGCCCCAUAAGUGACUCCUGUACCCUACAAGUGACUCCUCUGCCCCAUUGGGAGACCCAUAAGUGACUCUCAGCCCCAUAGUGAGACCCACAAGUGGUCUCUCAGCCCCAUAAGUGACUCCUCUGCCCCACAAGUGCCCCCCCAGCUGAGCCCUGUGGGGCUGCCCCACACUCCGCCCCACAAGUGCCUCCAGCCCCACAGAAAUAAAGGUGCUCUCAAUGGAUACAGGCCCCAUUGAUGGGGGGGGAGGAAGUGGGGAGGGGUGGGUGGGGUCUCUAUGGGUCUCUAUGGGUCCCUAUGGGGUCCCUAUGGGUCUCUAUGGGUCCCUAUGGGUCUCUAUGUGUCCCUAUGUGUCCCUAUGGGUCUCUAUGGGGUCCCUAUGGGUCUCUGUUGGUCCCUAUGGGUCUCUAUGGGUCCUAAUGUCCCCCUAUGGGUCUCUAUGGGUCCCUAUGGGGUCCCUAUGGGUCCCUAUGGGUCCCUAUGGGUCCCUAUGGGUCGCUAUGGGGUCUCUAUGGGUCCUUAUGUUCCCCUAUAGGGUCCCUAUGUGUCUCUAUGGGUCCCUAUGGGUCCCUAUUGGCCUCUAUGGGUCUCUAUGUGUCCUUAUGGGUCCCUAUGGGUCCCUAUGUGUCUCUAUGGGGUCCCUAUGGGUCUCUAUUGGUCCCUAUGUGUCUCUAUGGGUCCUAAUGUCCCCCUAUGGGUCUCUAUGGGGUCUCUAUGUGUCUCUAUGGGUCUCUAUGGGUCUCUAAGGGUCCCUAUGGGUUUCUAUGGGUCCCUAUGGGUCUCUAUGUGUCUCUGUGGGUCCCUAUGGUUCUCUAUGGCCCCAUAGAUCUCUGUACCCGGUCUCCCCUCAUCAAUAUUCAAUUGACAGUAAUCAAUAUUAAUGAAUCUAUCAAUAUUUAUGAGCUGCUUCUCGCGGUCCUCAUUAAUAUUCAUAAGCGACCGCAGCGGUUCCAUUGUGGUGAAUGAAAGGGGGGGGGGAGCAGUAUUUUUCUGCCCCAAAAUGGCCGAAAAAGCCGCUUUUUUAACAAAAAAAAGACUCAAAUAGGUCAGAAAAUGAUAAAAAAUGCAUUUCUGGAGGAAUUUGGGCCCAAAAUGGACCAAAAUCGGCGGAUUUUACCUCAAAAAUGGGCGAGAUUUUCCCCUUCAGCGCCGCGCAGUUGAGGCGAUCCGAGGGGACAAAAUGGCGGCGGCAAGAUGGCGGCCACGGCGAGGAGCGGGAAAAUGGGGUAAAAAAGGGCAAAAUUGGGGCUUUUUUGUGGUAAAAAUGGUGGUUUUUGGACAGUUUGGGGUGUGGGGAGGGAAAUUUGGGGGAAAAAAGUGGAAAUUCGGGGUUUUUACGUGAAAUUUUGAGGUUUUUAGGGGGUAAAAUGGGGGUGGUGGAGAGGUUACCUCAGGGAGGGGGACGGGGGAAAAUUGGGGUAAAAAUGGGCAAAAUUGGGGUUUUUUGUGGUAAAAAUGGUGGUUUUUGGAUAUUUUGGGGUGUGGGAGAUUAAUUUUGGGGAGAAAAAGUGAAAUUUUUGGGUUUUUAGGUGAAAUUUUGGGGUUUUUAGGUGGGAAAAUGGGGUUAAAAAGGGGUAAAAUGGGGGUGGUGGAGAGGUUACCUCAGGGAGGGGGACUGAGGAAAAUUGGGGUAAAAAAGGGCAAAAUUGGGACAUUUUGUGGUAAAAAUGGUGGUUUUUGGACAUUUUGGGGUGUGGGAGAUUAAAUUUUGGGGGGGAAAAGUGAAAUUUUGGGGUUUUUAGGUGA
rnacentral:lncRNA from 1 species